rnacentral:rRNA from 1 species
GACGAACGCCGGCGGCGUGCUUAACACAUGCAAGUCGAACGAUGAAGCCGGAGCUUGCUCCGGUGGAUUAGUGGCGAACGGGUGAGUAACACGUGGGCAAUCUGCCCUUGACUCUGGGAUAACUGCGGGAAACUGUAGCUAAUACCGGAUACGACACCUUGGGGCAUCCCAGGGUGUGGAAAGAAUUUCGGUCAAGGAUGAGCUCGCGGCCUAUCAGCUAGUUGGUGAGGUAAUGGCUCACCAAGGCGACGACGGGUAGCCGGCCUGAGAGGGUGACAGGCCACACUGGAACUGAGACACGGUCCAGACUCCUACGGGAGGCAGCAGUGGGGAAUAUUGCACAAUGGGCGAAAGCCUGAUGCAGCAACGCCGCGUGAGGGAUGAAGGCCUUCGGGUUGUAAACCUCUUUUAGCAGGGAAGAAGCGAAAGUGACGGUACCUGCAGAAAAAGCACCGGCUAACUACGUGCCAGCCGCCGCCGUAA